rnacentral:sRNA from 18 species
AUCAACUACCCCGCCCUAAAAGGCGGAGCUUGCCUGCCUGCCGCGCCGCACGCGGCGCAGACAGGUGAAAACAAGCUGGGUUGACCAGCCUAAGCCCUGUUAAAGGGGCUACGUGUACAACAGGUCGUUAAGACUCACCGGCGGAUGCUUCCUCAGUCUGCCGCUCUGAA